rnacentral:rRNA from 1 species
UACGUAGGUGGCAAGCGUUGUCCGGAAUUAUUGGGCGUAAAGCGCGCGCAGGUGGUUUCUUAAGUCUGAUGUGAAAGCCCACGGCUCAACCGUGGAGGGUCAUUGGAAACUGGGGAACUUGAGUGCAGAAGAGGAAAGUGGAAUUCCAAGUGUAGCGGUGAAAUGCGUAGAGAUUUGGAGGAACACCAGUGGCGAAGGCGACUUUCUGGUCUGUAACUGACGCUGAGGCGCGAAAGCGUGGGGAGCAAACAGG